rnacentral:rRNA from 1 species
UGGGGAAUAUUGGACAAUGGGCGAAAGCCUGAUCCAGCCAUGCCGCGUGUGUGAAGAAGGUCUUCGGAUUGUAAAGCACUUUAAGUUGGGAGGAAGGGCAUUAACCUAAUACGUUAGUGUUUUGACGUUACCGACAGAAUAAGCACCGGCUAACUCUGUGCCAGCAGCCGCGGUAAUACAGAGGGUGCAAGCGUUAAUCGGAAUUACUGGGCGUAAAGCGCGCGUAGGUGGGUUGGUAAGUUGGAUGUGAAAGCCCCGGGCUCAACCUGGGAACUGCAUCCAAAACUGGCAAGCUAGAGUACGGUAGAGGGUGGUGGAAUUUCCUGUGUAGCGGUGAAAUGCGUAGAUAUAGGAAGGAACACCAGUGGCGAAGGCGACCACCUGGACUGAUACUGACACUGAGGUGCGAAAGCGUGGGGAGCAAACA